GGUAAAUGGCCGAGUAGGUGCAAGAUUGUAGCCCUUGUUAUAGAGGAAGAACCCUCUUUUUACCA
rnacentral:tRNA from 1 species